UAGAGUUUGAUCAUGGCUCAGGAUGAACACUAGCGGCAGGCUUAACACAUGCAAGUCGAAGGGCAUCGCGGGGAGUGCUUGCACUCCCUGGCGGCGACUGGCGCACGGGUGAGUAACACGUAUGCAACCUGCCCUCCACAGGGGGACAACCUUCCGAAAGGGAGGCUAAUCCCGCGUAAAUCUCGAUGGGGCAUCCCAUUGAGAGGAAAGCUUCGGCGGUGGAGGAUGGGCAUGCGGCGCAUUAGCUAGUCGGCGGGGUAACGGCCCACCGAGGCGACGAUGCGUAGGGGUUCUGAGAGGAAGGUCCCCCACACUGGUACUGAGACACGGACCAGACUCCUACGGGAGGCAGCAGUGAGGAAUAUUGGUCAAUGGGCGCGAGCCUGAACCAGCCAAGUCGCGUGAGGGAAGACGGUCCUAUGGAUUGUAAACCUCUUUUGUCGGGGAGCAAAAGACGCCACGCGUGGCGUUCCGAGAGUACCCGAAGAAAAAGCAUCGGCUAACUCCGUGCCAGCAGCCGCGGUAAUACGGAGGAUGCGAGCGUUAUCCGGAUUUAUUGGGUUUAAAGGGUGCGCAGGCGGAAGAUCAAGUCAGCGGUAAAAUUGAGAGGCUCAACCUCUUCGAGCCGUUGAAACUGGUUUUCUUGAGUGAGCGAGAAGUAUGCGGAAUGCGUGGUGUAGCGGUGAAAUGCAUAGAUAUCACGCAGAACUCCGAUUGCGAAGGCAGCAUACCGGCGCUCAACUGACGCUCAUGCACGAAAGUGUGGGUAUCGAACAGGAUUAGAUACCCUGGUAGUCCACACAGUAAACGAUGAAUACUAAUUGUUCGGGGAGAAUGAUCCCUGAGUGAUACAGCGAAAGCGUUAAGUAUUCCACCUGGGGAGUACGCCGGCAACGGUGAAACUCAAAGGAAUUGACGGGGGCCCGCACAAGCGGAGGAACAUGUGGUUUAAUUCGAUGAUACGCGAGGAACCUUACCCGGGCUCAAACGACACAGGAAUACUUUUGAAAGGAAGUAGCUCUACGGAGCCUGUGUCGAGGUGCUGCAUGGUUGUCGUCAGCUCGUGCCGUGAGGUGUCGGCUUAAGUGCCAUAACGAGCGCAACCCCCAUCGCCAGUUACCAGCAAGUCAAGUUGGGGACUCUGGCGAGACUGCCGGCGCAAGCUGUGAGGAAGGCGGGGAUGACGUCAAAUCAGCACGGCCCUUACGUCCGGGGCGACACACGUGUUACAAUGGCAGGUACAGAGAGAAGCAAUGCGGCGACGCAAAGCGGAACUUGAAAGCCUGUCUCAGUUCGGAUUGGAGUCUGCAACUCGACUCCAUGAAGCUGGAUUCGCUAGUAAUCGCGCAUCAGCCAUGGCGCGGUGAAUACGUUCCCGGGCCUUGUACACACCGCCCGUCAAGCCAUGGAAGCCGGGAGUGCCUGAAGUGUGCAACCGCAAGGAGCGCCCUAAGGUAAAACUGGUGACUGGGGCUAAGUCGUAACAAGGUAGCCGUA
rnacentral:rRNA from 1 species